rnacentral:lncRNA from 1 species
GUUGAAUGAACAUACAAAAUAAUUUAGCAUUAAAUCAUGUCACGUUAGCUUCUACUAACAAAACUACACAAGAAUUUGUAAAUAUAUUGUUACUCUCUCUCUCUCUCUCUCUAUAGUCUAUAUAUAAAAAUAAAGUUAACAUAGUUAGAGCAUAAAUUGUCCCCUUGUUCUAUCAUCUAUGUGACUUGAGGCGUUUGUUAGUCUCAAAUCUUAAUUUGUCGAGGCUGGGAGUUUGUGUCACAAGACUCGUGAUUCAUUAGUUUGACACGAAAUAAACAGAGGUUGAUUCGAUUUAGGAGUGGCAAAAAAGUCAGGGCUUAUCUGGCCCAGGCCCGCGGCUUAAAUCAUGGAUAAGGGCUUGUAAUUUGUAAAGCCCAUAUGUAAUGGGCUCAGUCAAGUACUUUACUCAAAAACCCAAACUUAAACCCGGGCUUUAUAAUAAAUUAUAUAUAUAUUAAAUCCAAAACUUUAUACAUAUUAUAAAAUUCAAAUUAAAAAAAAAAACUAAAAAAUUAAAAGAAAAAACAAAACAGAAUAACGGAUUCAAAUCGAUAUUGAACCCGAACCAAAAUCAAUCCCUAAAAUCGCUACUGUAGUAUUUGCCAACUUCCAGAUACUUUUAAAUGAUAUAUUUUGUCAAUAUUUAUUUUAAAUGUCAUUUUCUAUCAAUUUCCCAAACGUAUCUUCCACAUUUUUUCUUCUUUUUUUUUUUUUUCUCUCGCACAAAGUCUUGACAGCAAAAAAUAAAAAAUAAAAAUUACUUAGCUUUUAAUUAUUUUCUCAGAAGACUAUGCUUCUUCGAAAUGGUGCUUGGACGAACUUCUCAAAAUUCUUGAAUGCAAGGAAAAAAAAUGGCCUAAACUAAAUCCCUCAUUUCCGGUUUCCCCCAUUUCUCACUGUUCACGCCGUCGGCAACCAAGAGGAGCCCACAGCGUCCAGCAGCGAGCGUCCAGCACAGCAGCGAGCCGCGAGAGUCCAGAACCGCGAGCGUGAAGCGUCCAGCCACCCACCAUCUCCCGACCCCAGCACAGCCGCACGACGUUGCAGCAACAACCACUCCAACGCGUGCGAGGCAGCAGCACCGAUAUGUUCCAACGCGACCCAAACCAGUGCCGGCGCGAUUCAAACCAGCAAGCCAUCACCAACUCCGGUAUUCCACCUCAAUUAAGCUUCAAUUUUUUUUUAUUGUAUAAUAUCAUGCCUAAAUAUAUGUAAUUGGUUAAUUUGGUGAAGAAUAUUGUGAAGAAUUUUUUGUUUUUGAGUUGUGAAGAAUAUCGUGAAGAAUUUAGGAUGGUUGUUGAUUAAUGUAGAAAAUGUUGAAGAAUAUUGUGAUUGGUUCAUAAUUUCGAGUUGUGUUGUUGGUUUUGUUGUUGAUUGUUGGUUGUUGGUUUGUAAAUUUGGGGGUUUUGUUUUUCAAUCAAUUCUGGACGUUGUAAAUUUAUUUGUAAUUUGUAAAUGGAGAA